GUCAGCUCGUGUCGUGAGAUGUUGGUUAAGUCCCGUAACGANNGCAACCCUUGUCCUUAGUUGCCAGNNCGUAAUGGUGGGAACUCUAGGGAGACUGCCGGUGACAAACCGGAGGAAGGUGGGGACGACGUCAAGUCAUCAUGCCUUACGGCCUGGGCUACACACGUGCUACAAUGGAACGUACAGAGGGCUGCAAAAGNGCGAGCUGGAGCGAAUCCCAUAAAACGUUUCGUAGUCCGGAUUGGAGUCUGCAACUCGACUCCAUGAAGUCGGAAUCGCUAGUAAUCGUGGAUCAGAAUGCCACGG
rnacentral:rRNA from 1 species